rnacentral:rRNA from 1 species
GACAGAGGCCCCGAGCGUUAGUCGGAAUUACUGGGCUUAAAGGGUGCGUAGGCGGACGCGUAAGUGUCUGGUGAAAGCCCCGGGCUCAACCCGGGAACCGCCGGGCAUACUGCGCGCCUUGAGGUAGCUAGAGGCCGGUGGAACGAUCGGUGGAGCGGUGGAAUGCGUAGAGAUCGAUCGGAACGCCAAGGGUGAAGACAACCGGCUGGGGCUUACCUGACGCUGAGGCACGAAAGCGUGGGGAUCAAACAGG